rnacentral:rRNA from 1 species
GACGAACGCUGGCGGCGUGCUUAACACAUGCAAGUCGAACGAAGUGGCGAACGGGUGGGUAACGCGUAAUCAACCUGCCCUUCAGAGGGGGACAACAGUUGGAAACGACUGCUAAUACCGCAUACUGAAGGAGGGGAUUGCGUCUGAUUAGCAAGUUGGAGGGGUAACGGCCCACAAAGGCGAUGAUCAGUAGCCGUUCUGAUAGGAUGAACGGCCACAUUGGGACUGAGACACGUCCCAGAGGCCUACGGGAGGCAGCAGUGGGAAAUCGUCCGCAAUGGACGAAAGUCUGACGGAGCAACGCCGCGGGAGUGAUGACGGCCUUCGGGUUGUAAAGCUCUGUUAAUCGGGACGCGGUACCGGAAUAGAAAGCCACGGCUAACUACUUGCCAGCAGCCGCGGUAAUAC